rnacentral:sRNA from 1 species
AUCGCUGCAAAAUCAGCGAUCGGGAUUGGCGUCCCGGUUAUCAACAUGACGCAUACCGCGUUAGCGGUUUUUUU